GAGGGCGCGCCCCCAAACGGGCACGGGCGCGGACGCGCGCGUUCCCAGGACUCCUUGGUCAGGUGGGUGUCCUCACAGGGCCGGGCCUGCAGCCUCUCGCUCACCACCUCAGAGCCUUUCUUCGCAAUUACUUGAGUUCGCUGCGUCUUUUCCCUGGUUCUUCUCCCUAAGAUGAAGACAAAGAAGUAAUAAUUCCUAUUAAGAUACAGGAGGGAAGAGCAGUAUGAGGAACCGGGUAAUUGCCAUCUUCUUCACCAGCCAGAGCUCCUGGCUACUGGACACUUUAUAUACGGUUCCCUGGACUCAGGUUCGCUUUCCUUAAACCUUCUUAGUCCUCACGUUAGUUCUCUUAAAAGUUAUCUCUGCUAGCGGGUCCUUUGGUGGGACAGCCCACAUCAAAAACACAAUGUCUGAAGAUUCCCUGGCUCAUUUGCAAAGACAGGAAGAUGAUAUCAAGAAAAAUUAACUAACCUCAAGAACUGCCUGGUGUAUGUGUAUACAGUUCUAGACCAAACAUCAGGGAUGUGAAGAUGGCAUGACUUAAUGUGCUGUGGCUCCUUAACUUUCCCAACUUGCCGUUCUCAUAACGAAUGCGUCUUGAUGCCUAGUGGAACUGUGUUUUAUAGAGAGGCAGUCAACAGUGAUCCAGUUAAUUCCUCAUUGGCCAAGCCAUAACCGGAGUUCUACGUUCAGUCUAGAUUGAGCAUGUUAAAAAAGAAAAGAAAAGAAAAGAAAAGAAAAGAAAAGAAAAGAAAAGAAAAGAAAAGAAAAGAAAAGAAAGAAAAAGCAAAACCUCAGAAAAGUUGGAAUCAUUUCGGAGGAGAGCUGAUGAAAAAGAGAACCCCAAAACAUGACAAAUAAAAAAGUACUGGUUGAAAAAUACUGGAUAAAGACUCAUCAUGUGACAUAAUUUAUUUCAUGUCUCAAGAAAAGACUUGAGAGAAACAUUUCAGAUCUUGAAGAUCCCCUUCUAGCACUAGUCAAAGAAGUUGUCUGCCUUAGGAUGUGUGGAUGCAUCAACCACCAGAUUUGACCAUACUUAGAUUCCAAGGCUUAUUUCAGAGGCACUAGGUGCAGGGGAGCCAUACAUCAAGAGCAGAAUUAGUUCCUGGUUUUAUUAGAGUUAUUUUCAACCUUGAGAUCAGAUCAGCCCUUGGUCCCAGACUUCAAAGAAUUUACAGUUACCUGAGGUCAACCACUGCUCGGAAGCAGACGAUCCUUCUUCUGAGAUAUCAUCAGACGGUCAAUAGUAUCCUAAUGCUAUGUCACAAUGCCUGUGUCAUUCACGUCACUUCAUCUCAUCGCCUAGGCAUUUUAUCAUCUCACAACAAAAGAAAAAGGCCUGUGUGUGGACGGGAAAAUGAUUCAUCCUCAGUUGAGCAUCCUGUCAUCUGUUUGUGCUUCAACAGAAACUACGAUGGGAAUAAUCCUACUCUAAGAUCCUGUUAGAAAUAGAGGCACAAAAAAGUAGGACAUAUCGUAGAACCUAGGUGUGAAUAGCAUUAGCACAUAUCAGACCAGGGUCUGAAUAUUUCUUAUAAUUGUGUCAUUUUUUCCAUCUCUGUUACCACCAUCUUCAUUAAAACUUUAUAACCUCUUACCAGUACUGCUCCAGUCACUUGUCUCUGGUUUUUAUCCCAGCUAAGUGUGUUCUUCAUAAUACCACCAGAUUGCUUGACCCAAAAUGCAAAUGUUACCUUGUCAGUUAUUUGCUUUAAAUCUUUCAAAAUUUCCCAAAAGCAUUGCCCUUGAGGCAAGCUCCUUAAAUGUUAGAGUGCAUACAAUUGACCUGGGAGUCUUGUUAAAAUUCAGAUUCUAUCUGAGUUGGGUUUGGAAUGUGGCCCCCAAAUCUGCACUUCUAAAAACCUCUGUGGUAUUGUGACAACUCUAGCUGCAGCUGGAAGAACGACUCUUUGAGUACCACAGGCCUAGAGAAGUUUUGGCUCCUUAGAGGUGCCAUUCAAAGAUAUAACUAAACUUAACCUGUACCCUGAUUUCAUCUCUUACCUUUCCCUACAGCUACAGUUUAGAGUUCCCAGAAAACAAUAAUUUGUUUCAUGUCUACUAUCCUUUUUUCCUAUUUGGUUUUUUAUUUUGUUUUGUUUUUUGAUAUUUUACAUAUAGCAGUAGUAACUGAGAUCUCCUCCCCUCAAAAUUUCCUUCACUUCCAGAAAGCAAUUCCCUACAUUCACAAAUUGGUUUAAGAGUUAUUAUAUUCAUUUCCUGUGGCUGCUAUAACGAAUCACCACAAACUUGGUGACUGGAAAAAAAUGUAUUCUCUCACAGUUCUGGAGGCCUGUGCCCAAAAUCAAGGUGUCAGUAGAGCUGUGCUCCCUCCCAUGGUUUUAAGGAAGAAUCUGUUGUUUGCCUCUUCCACUGCUGGUGGCUCCAGGAGUUCCUUGGCUUGUGGUUCUAAUCUCUGUGGUCACAUUGCCUCCUCCUCUUAGGUCUCAAAACUCUCUGCCUUAUAUUUAUAAGAAUGGAUAUAUUUUCAUUAAGGUCUACCCAGAUAAUACAGGAAAAACUCUACCUCUCAAAAUCUUACUCAUAUCUUUCAAAUAUAAGGUGAUAUGCACUCUUGCCAUAUGAGGCAAUAUUCACAGGUUCUGCAGGUUAAGAUGUGGACAUAUCUCUUUGUGGAGAGAAGGUCACCACUUAAACCACUACAUGCCUCUUUAUAGAGCAUAUGGCAUCAUAGGAAUAAUAGCUACCAUUCAUUUUAUUUAUUGUUAUUCUUUUAGGACAUUUUCCCUGAUUCCUAGCACUUAUUCAAAUGCCCCUGUGCUUAUCUUUUAUAUAUCAGAUAUCACACUCUAUUAUGUAUGUUAGUUCUCUUUCAUGUCUAAUUUAACAUGUGUACUUACAUUUUAUGUCAUAUAUAAUAGGUAUACUAUUAUCUGUGACAUAGUAGGUGCUCAACAAAUAUAAUAAAGUUUUGGUUUUUGUUUUCUUUUUUUUAAGUAGAGGGACUUUCUUAUUGUCCACACUGGCAUAGGUACUUGUAUACACAUACAGCACUGAACUUCUCCAUUUUAUCACUUACCAUUUUGUAAUUAGGUACUUCCUCCUGUAUUUGUUUGGUGUCUGCUCUUCUCCUAGGUUAUAAAUUCCAUGAGGGCAGGGACCAUGUCUUUUUUCCAUUGUCCUUGCUUUCUUCCUGACAUGGUGCCCAGCAUAAUUUGCUCAGUAAAUAGUUGUUAAGUGAAUGACCAGUUGAAUGAAUGGAUCCCUGUAAGAGAGAUUGAUGAGAGAAAUGGUGCUCUUAAAGUUUAGUUUAACAUUAGGGGUUGCAAAAGGAGAGUGUUCUAGGAAAAGAGUAAGAAUGUAAGAGGGUUUCUUGAAAACUAAUUGGAAUACUACUUAAGGAUAGAGUGGGAAGGAGACAGCAGGAGUAAGAGGGAGCAAGGAAGAAGAGGGCCCUAAUAAUAGCUACUAUUUAUUGGAGGGUUAUUAUAUACCAACCUAUUAACCAUUUACUCAUGCAAUAAAAGUGUGCCUAUACCCUCUGAGCAGCCUCUUUUCUUGCACCCAGCACACUUUGAGAAUAGACUCAGCACUUCUGGCAUUCUCUGCAAAUGGAAGUCCGAAAACACUGGUUUAGGAAUGUAAAUGUUAUGAAUUUUUGGGGGGGUGGAGGGAGGGAACCUAUCUUGCACACAACAGGAUAAGCUUCAAGCAAGCUUCUUCAGCAGGUAUCUCGGUUCAUCUGUUUCUUCAUCUGUACAGGCUCUAGAUCUCUCCAUUUCUCCCUUUGCCUACGCUGAUUCCCAAGACUCUAUAUUAUAAUGAGGCAUUUUGUUACAGCAUCUUUACAGUAACAGAAAAUUAGUAAAGCAGUAAGCUUUAGUUUAUUUCUUUAGACUUAAAUUACCUCAUUUAUUUUAAACAUCAUAACAACCAUAGGAGGUAAGAUUUUGUAGAGAUAUAGAAUGAUUAAAUAACUUAUCCAAUAUCACACAAAUAGAAGUAGUGCUAGAUUCAAAUCCAUAUCUUCUAGUGCCAAAGUCUAUGAUUUACCAUUAUUCAAGUGCAGCACUUUGACUUUAUAUUGAAAUAUCCAUCUGUGCUUGGCCCCUAGACAAAUGUUUCCAAAGAGAGCUCACUCACUGGGGAUCAUCUAAAAGAAUUAAUGAAUCAGAACCUCUGGGAGUGGGGCCAGGUCCUACAUUUUUAACAACCUCCCUGGCAAUUCUUACGCACAUUAGCAUUUAAGAGACCUCUGCACUAGACUACAACUACUUCAAGAAUAAAGCCUGUGGUUUAUUUAUCUUUGUGGUUAUUUAUCUUGUCAUCAGUGACUUGCACAGUGCCUAACUUAGAAUAAGUAUAAAAAUAAAUGUGUUGGGUUAAACCAAAUUGAUUUAGGGCUCCUCUUAAUACUCUUCAGUGAAGACUACUUUCAGAAUCUGAGAUGGAAGUGAACUUUCAAGUGAAGAUUAAGUGGCUUUAGCUGUAAGAUUUAGAAGGAAUCAGAACAGAAAACUUGCAGGUCAUUAGACUACUUGGAUGGAAAUCUAGCAGUGUAUUGUGCUCACAUAUUAAAUCUAACCAAAUCUUCAAUCAACCUCAGAGCUUAGAUCUGGGUGCUGCUUAUACUAUUGAAUGACCCUGACUCCAAAAGAUUUAUCAGAAGGGUACUCAGUAUCUUUUCUCAUAUCUUUUCCCAUUAGCAAAUUACCCCCAAAGGGAUAGGUCUGCAGAAAAAAAUCUCUGGUCACAUGUUCUGGAUAAGGAAACAGCAGUCUUCAGUAAUUACCACCCCCAUAGGAAAAAAAUCAGCAAUAAACUGUGUGAGGCCUCCUAACUUGCAGGAUAUACGUUAUAAUUCAAGAAACAACACAUUUCAUUGGAAAAGAACCUGAAUAAACAUAGCUGAGUGAAGCAUCACAGGCUUAAGCUUUCCCACCCCCACCACCCUCCUCUAGCAGAGCCUAAACUUGCCUGAAAGCCGGAAUUGAAUUAUAUUUCUCUGGCGUGCAGAAUGAGUAUGGGAAGACCCAUCAGACCUUCCCAGACAGUGUUACACCAUUUUGAGGUCCGUAUCUUGAUUCAUUAUUUCACUGCUGGAGUUUAAUCUUUAAGUAAAUUUUCUCUGAAAGGGUGAAUGGAUGGUGUAUUUUCUGAAUUUUUGCAUUUCCAAGAUAUUUUCUUCAGUUGCCCUCACAUGAAAGACAACUUUCCCAGGUUUUAAAGUCUUUAGUAAAAAAUAAAUAAAUAAAUAAAUAAAUAAAUAAAUA